CUUAGAUUUGUUUUUCUUUGAGAAGUCAAGGAGACAUUUGAAUUGAAGAAAUUUCCACAUUAGAGUUUUCCGGACAGCAUUCUUUUUUUGUUGUUGUUAAAUUCUUUUAUUGGAACAUUUUAGACCCUCAGAGAUAUUUUCAUACAAUUCAUAUGUAAAAUAAUUUCAUCAUAAGAAAAAUAAUG
rnacentral:lncRNA from 1 species